GUCUAAUUUUAGGAGUCGGAUGCAGUGACGGCUAUCCAACUAGCCCCGGAACGGGAGGACAGAUUCAUCUGGCGCUGGACUGCAAAUGGUACAUACACUGCUCGAUCUGCCUACAAGAUGCUACAUCACGGAUCCAUACCUUUACGGGGUGCAAACCGGAUUUGGAGUACACGGGCUCCCCUAAAGGCGGCCAUCAGGCGGAU
rnacentral:lncRNA from 1 species